GAUGAACGCUGGCUACAGGCUUAACACAUGCAAGUCGAGGGGAAACGACGGGGAAGCUUGCUUCCCCGGGCGUCGACCGGCGCACGGGUGAGUAACGCGUAUCCAACCUGCCUCUGACUGGGGGAUAACCCGUCGAAAGUCGGCCUAAUACCUCAUGGCAUCGUCUGCGGGCAUCCAACGACGAUUAAAGAUUUCAUCGGUCAGAGAUGGGGAUGCGUCUGAUUAGCUUGUUGGCGGGGUAACGGCCCACCAAGGCGACGAUCAGUAGGGGUUCUGAGAGGAAGGUCCCCCACAUGGGAACUGAGACACGGUCCAAACUCCUACGGGAGGCAGCAGUGAGGAAUAUUGGUCAAUGGGCGAGAGCCUGAACCAGCCAAGUAGCGUGCAGGAUGACGGCCCUAUGGGUUGUAAACUGCUUUUAUGCGGGGAUAAAGUGAGGGACGUGUCCUUCAUUGCAGGUACCGCAUGAAUAAGGACCGGCUAAUUCCGUG
rnacentral:rRNA from 1 species